rnacentral:rRNA from 1 species
GGUAAUCCUAGACCCUGCUAAGUAAGCAUAAUCGGAUGCCCUUUAAAUGGGGGAGUGUUGAAUGGACAAACGAGGGUAUAACUGUCUUAAAUGAAACUAAAUUGAAUUAGGAAUGAUAGUGAAGAUACUAUCAAAAAUAGUAGGACGAGAAGACCCUAUGAAGCUUAACUAUAAGUUCAUCAGACAAGAGAUUAUAUUAAAUUAAAAAUUAAUAAUAAAAGUAGAUUUAUUUGUACUUUGUCUCAGUCAUAGUGGUUAACUUGGUAGUUUUGGUGGGGUGCCAGCAUGGUAAAAAUAACCUAGAGUUCACAUAUGUAAAAUAUAAUUUACCGGUGUAGAAAACUAUCUUAUACGGUUACAAAAGUAGGUAAAAUGACCCUACCCAUUAGAAUUUAUUUAUGGGUAGACAAAGAAUAAAAGCUACUCUAGGGAUAACAGG